GUGUCAGCCGCCGCGGUAAUACGAGUGGUCCAAGCGUUAGUCGGAAUCACUGGGCUUAAAGGGUGCGUAGGCGGGCCAGAAAGCGUCUUGUGAAAUCCCCCGGCUCAACCGGGGAACAGCAGGGCGAACUACUGGUCUUGAGGAAGGUAGAGGCCGGCAGAACGAUCGGUGGAGCGGUGGAAUGCGUAGAGAUCGAUCGGAAUGCCAAAGGUGAAGACAGCCGGCUGGGCCUUUCCUGACGCUGAGGCACGAAAGCGUGGGGAGCAAACAGGAUUAGAAACCCCCGUAGUCC
rnacentral:rRNA from 1 species